CCUACGGGUGGCAGCAGUGGGGAAUAUUGGACAAUGGGCGAAAGCCUGAUCCAGCCAUGCCGCGUGUGUGAAGAAGGCCUUCGGGUUGUAAAGCACUUUCAGUGGGGAAGAAAGCCUUGGGGCUAAUACCCUCGAGGAAGGACAUCACCCACAGAAGAAGCACCGGCUAACUCCGUGCCAGCAGCCGCGGUAAUACGGAGGGUGCGAGCGUUAAUCGGAAUUACUGGGCGUAAAGCGCGCGUAGGCGGUCUGAUAAGCCGGUUGUGAAAGCCCCGGGCUCAACCUGGGAACGGCAUCCGGAACGGUCAGGCUAGAGUGCAGGAGAGGAAGGUAGAAUUACCGGUGUAGCGGUGAAAUGCGUAGAGAUCGGGAGGAAUACCAGUGGCGAAGGCGGCCUUCUGGACUGACACUGACGCUGAGGUGCGAAAGCGUGGGUAGCAAACAGGAUUAGAUACCCCUGUAGUC
rnacentral:rRNA from 1 species